GAGUGGUGGCCGAGUGGUCUAAGGCGCUGGAUUUAGGCUCCAGUCUGUAAAGGCAUGGGUUCGAAUCCCAUCCACUU
rnacentral:tRNA from 2 species